rnacentral:rRNA from 1 species
GUAAUAAUCCUGUAGUCGAAAAUGUUGUCUCUCUUGAGUGGAUCCUGAGUACGACGGAGCACGUGAAAUUCCGUCGGAAUCUGGGAGGACCAUCUCCUAAGGCUAAAUACUCUCUAGUGACCGAUAGUGAACCAGUACCGUGAGGGAAAGGUGAAAAGCACCCCGGAAGGGGAGUGAAAUAGAACCUGAAACCGUGUGCUUACAAGUAGUCAGAGCCCGUUAAUGGGUGAUGGCGUGCCUUUUGUAGAAUGAACCGGCGAGUUACGAUUUGAUGCAAGGUUAAGCAGUAAAUGUGGAGCCGUAGCGAAAGCGAGUCUGAAUAGGGCGUUUAGUAUUUGGUCGUAGACCCGAAACCAGGUGAUCUACCCUUGGUCAGGUUGAAGUUCAGGUAACACUGAAUGGAGGACCGAACCGACUUACGUUGAAAAGUGAG